GACGAACGCUGGCGGCGUGCUUAACACAUGCAAGUCGAACGAAGUGGCGAACGGGUGAGUAACGCGUAAUCAACCUGCCCUUCAGAGGGGGACAACAGUUGGAAACGACGGCUAAUACCGCAUACUGAAGGAGGGGUUUGCGUCGGAUUAGCUAGUUGGAGGGGUAACGGCCCACCAAGGUGAUGAUCAGUAGCCGGUCUGAGAGGAUGAGCGGCCACAAUGGAACGGAGACACGGCCCAGACGCCUACGGGAGGCAGCAGUGGGGAAUCUUCCGAAAGGGACGAAAGUCUGACGGAGCAACGCCGAGUGAGUGAGGACGGCCUUCGUGUUGGAAAGCUCUGUUAAGCGGGACGCGGUACCGGAAUAGAAAGCCACGGCUAACUACGUGCCAGCAGCCGCGGUAAUAC
rnacentral:rRNA from 1 species